rnacentral:rRNA from 1 species
GAUGAACGCUAGCGGCAGGCUUAACACAUGCAAGUCGAGGGGUAUAGUUCUUCGGAACUAGAGACCGGCGCACGGGUGCGUAACGCGUAUGCAAUCUACCUUUUGCAGAGGGAUAGCCCCAGAGAAAUUUGGAUUAAUACCUCAUAGUAUAGCAGUUUCGCAUGAAAUCACUAUUAAAGUCAUAACGGCAAAAGAUGAGCAUGCGUCCCAUUAGCUAGUUGGUAAGGUAACGGCUUACCAAGGCUACGAUGGGUAGGGGUCCUGAGAGGGAGAUCCCCCCACACUGGUACUGAGACACGGACCAGACUCCUACGGGAGGCAGCAGUGAGGAAUAUUGGACAAUGGGCGCAAGCCUGAUCCAGCCAUGCCGCGUGCAGGAUGACGGUCCUAUGGAUUGUAAACUGCUUUUGUACAGGAAGAAACACUCCCUCGUGAGGGAGCUUGACGGUACUGUAAGAAUAAGGAUCGGCUAACUCCGUGCCAGCA